rnacentral:sRNA from 1 species
GCCGGGCAUGGUGGCUCACGUCUGUAAUCCCAGCACUUUGGGAGGCUGAGGCGGGUGGAUCACCUGAGGUCAGGAGUUCGAGACCAGCCUGGCCAACAUGGUGAAACCCCGCCUCUA